CGGGCCACGGGCCUAACAUAGACAGUUGGUUGAAGUUGAAGCGCUGGAGGAAGUAGGUAGGCGAACUUUUGGCUCCAUAGUGGAGGAAGGUCUCUUUUUUUUUUUAAAUCAGUUAUGGGGAAAUAAAGUUCAAUGGGAAGUGUAAUAAUGGUGUCCCAGGGGUUUGCAGAAUCCAUCCAGCGUGUUCGUGAGGAAAAACAGUAACCAAUAAAGGAGAUUCCGGAUUGGGAGUAUAGACAGGCUGGACAAAGACAACAACUUUCAAAAGGAUAAUUACGAAGUACAGCAACAUUGAAGAUAACAUUAAUGUCAUUAGCCAUUUGGGAUCACUAAGAACCGUUCUCACUUCCCUUUAUGGCAACCUCCGAAACCAAGGCGUGACAUCAGCUAAAGACCACCCUAGGGUGCUGCAGCAGUCAAGGAAAAGCAGGCCGAGAUCAAGACCAUCACCUAAGAACAGACCAGGAGAAGUCGGCUGAACAACCGUCGACUAGAAUCCA
rnacentral:lncRNA from 1 species